rnacentral:rRNA from 1 species
AGUGAACGCUGGCGGUAGGCCUAACACAUGCAAGUCGAACGGCAGCACAGUAAGAGCUUGCUCUUACGGGUGGCGAGUGGCGGACGGGUGAGGAAUACAUCGGAAUCUACUUUUUCGUGGGGGAUAACGUAGGGAAACUUACGCUAAUACCGUAUACGACCUACCGGUGAAAGCAGGGGAUCUUCGGACCUUGCGCGAUUGAAUGAGCCGAUGUCGGAUUAGCUAGUUGGCGGGGUAAAGGCCCACCAAGGCGACGAUCCGUAGCUGGUCUGAGAGGAUGAUCAGCCACACUGGAACUGGGACACGGACCAGACUCCUACGGGAGGCAGCAGUGGGGAAUAUUGGACAAAGGGCGCAAGCCUGAUCCAGCCAUACCGCGUGGGUGAAGAAGGCCUUCGGGUUGUAAAGCCCUUUUGUUGGGAAAGAAAAGCAGCAGGUUGAUACGCCGCUGUUCUGACGGUAACCAAAGAAUAAGCACCGGCUAACUUCGUG